rnacentral:rRNA from 1 species
UACGUAGGCAGCAAGCGUUGUUCGGAAUUACUGGGCGUAAAGAGUGUGUAGGCGGUGUUCUAAGUUUGGUGUGAAAUCUCCCGGCUCAACUGGGAGGGUGCGCCGAAAACUGGAAUGCUAGAGUAUGGGAGAGGUAAGCGGAAUUCCUGGUGUAGCGGUGAAAUGCGUAGAUAUCGGGAGGAACACCAAUGGCGAAGGCAGCUCGCUGGGACGGUACUGACGCUGAGACGCGAAAGCGUGGGGAGCAAACAGG